GACGAAGGGGGCUAGCGUUGUUCGGAAUUACUGGGCGUAAAGCGAGUGUAGGUGGUUGUCCAAGUUGGAUGUGAAAGCCUUGAGCUCAACUCAAGAAAUGCAUUCAGGACUGGAUGGCUAGAGGACCGGAGAGGAUAGUGGAAUUCCCAGUGUAGUGGUGAAAUACGUAGAGAUUGGGAAGAACACCAGUGGCGAAGGCGGCUAUCUGGACGGUUUCUGACGCUGAGGCGCGAAAGCUAGGGGAGCAAACGGG
rnacentral:rRNA from 1 species